GACGAACGCUGGCGGCGUGCUUAACACAUGCAAGUCGAACGAAGUGGCGAACGGGUGAGUAACGCGUAAUCAACCUGCCCUUCAGAGGGUGACAACAGUUGGCAACGACUUCUAAUACCGCAUUCUGAAGGUGGGGAUUUCGUCUUAUUAGCUGGUUGGAGGGGUAACGGCCCACCCAGUCGAUGAUCAGUAGUCGGUCUGAGAGGAUGAACGGCCACAUUGGGACUGAGACACGGCCCAGACUCCUACGGGAGGCAGAAGGGGGGAAUCUUCCGCAAUGGACGAAAGUCUGACGGAGCAACGCCGCGUGAGUGAUGACGGCCUUCGGGUUGUAAAGCUCUGUUAAUCGGGACGCGGUACCGGAAUAGAAAGCCACGGCUAACUACGUGCCAGCAGCCGCGGUAAGUC
rnacentral:rRNA from 1 species